rnacentral:rRNA from 1 species
AAUAUUGCACAAUGGGGGGAAAACCCCUGAUGCAGCCAUGCCGCGUGUGUGAAGAAGGCCUUCGGGUUGUAAAGCACUUUCAGUAGGGAGGAAGGUAGUGUAGUUAACACCUGCCAUUAUUUGACGUUACCUACAGAAGAAGCACCGGCUAACUCCGUGCCAGCAGCCGCGGUAAUACGGAGGGUGCGAGCGUUAAUCGGAAUUACUGGGCGUAAAGCGCAUGCAGGCGGCCUGUUAAGUCAGAUGUGAAAGCCCGGGGCUUAACCUCGGAAUUGCAUUUGAAACUGGCAGGCUAGAGUCUUGUAGAGGGGGUAGAAUUUCAGGUGUAGCGGUGAAAAUGCGUAGAGAUCUGAAGGAAUACCGGUGGCGAAGGCGGCCCCCUGGACAGAUACUGACACUCAGAUGCGAAAGCGUGGGUAGCGAACAGGAUUAGAUACCCUGGUAG